UCCUUCGCAUACUUACCUGGUGUCGGGCUUCCGAUGAUCAUUGCGGUCGGCGCCCCGUGCCGAGGCCUUACCAUUGCACUGCGGUUGGCUGAAGCACGCCACUACCCCAAACCGGGGCAGAUGGGACAUGUAAUUUUUGGUAGUGGGGCUCGGCGUGCGCGCCAGCCCCUUCCAUGCGCAAAUCAAAAGUGAGAUCUGUGUCAGUUUUCAUGCAGCGACCCCUGUUGUGACCGCGCUUCAGUGCUUGGGAGUAGGACGCUUUCUCAUAAUUUGGAUAAUGUAGCCAUUGCAAUUCGGAAUUAAUGCCUGCUAGGUUUACAGUUGUAUGGGUGGAGGGCUUCUGUGUUGCAGUAGGUAACUUAGCGUGUUUUCAUUGUUUAGCAGAGUUUCCUGUUUCAUGUAGAGUACUCUAGACUUCCCGCUUCAUAUGGUGCGCUCUUUAGAAUGGCCUGUUAUGCCGACGCGUUCCUUCGCAUACUUACCUGGUGUCGGGCUUCCGAUGAUCAUUGCGGUCGGCGCCCCGUGCCGAGGCCUUACCAUUGCACUGCGGUUGGCUGAAGCACGCCACUACCCCAAACCGGGGCAGAUGGGACAUGUAAUUUUUGGUAGUGGGGCUCGGCGUGCGCGCCAGCCCCUUCCAUGCGCAAAU
rnacentral:lncRNA from 1 species